rnacentral:rRNA from 1 species
CGCGGCCUAUCAGCUUGUUGGUGAGGUAAUGGCUCACCAAGGCAACGACGGGUAGCUGGUCUGAGAGGACGAUCAGCCACACUGGAACUGAGAUACGGUCCAGACUCCUACGGGAGGCAGCAGCAGGGAAUCUUGCGCAAUGGGCGAAAGCCUGACGCAGCGACGCCGCGUGGGGGAUGAAGGCCUUAGGGUUGUAAACCCCUUUCACGAGGGAAGAAACUGACGGUACCUUGAGAAGAAGCCCCGGCCAACUACGUGCCAGCAGCCGCGGUAAUUCGUAGGGGGCGAGCGUUGUCCGGAUUUAUUGGGCGUAAAGGGCUCGUAGGCGGCUUGACAAGUCGGCCGUGAAAGCCCAGGGCUCAACCCUGGGACGCCGGUCGAUACUGUCAUGGCUAGGGUCCGGUAGAGGGGAAUGGAAUUCCCGGUGUAGCGGUGAAAUGCGCAGAUAUCGGGAGGAACACCAGUAGCGAAGGCGGUUCCCUGGGCCGGUACCGACGCUGAGGAGCGAAAGCGUGGGUAGCAAACAGGAUUAGAUACCCUGGUAGUCCACGCCGUAAACGUUGGGUACUAGGCGUGGCGUCUUAUCAACGGAUGCCGUGCUCAAAGCUAACUCGUUAAGUACCCCGCCUGGGGAGUACGG